GGAAGUGAGGACAAUCUGGCUGCGACAUCUGUCACCCCAUCGAUCGCCAGGGCUGUUCAGCUGAUCUGGCUGGCCGGGCAGGUGUCCCCUUCCUCCCUCAACGCUCCACAUGCGUCCCUCCCCAAGCUGCACACUCGGUCGAAGAGGACGACCACCCUCGAUAAAGGAGGACUGUUCCUUGGUCACGGGUGUACGAGUAGCUGCACUCCCCUGCUAGACCGCCAAACAAGCUCUCAAACUACCAUGGUGUUACUGAAUGUACAACUGGGGAAAGGUGUGUGAUGUACAUCAAGGUAUGGUGUCUUCACCAC
rnacentral:snRNA from 1 species